rnacentral:lncRNA from 1 species
AACAAAGCCCUUAGCCGCUCAGUUGCUUCGCCGUUCUCAGUCCCCCCAUCCGAACUCCGAUCGCGACGGAGUGAACAGGAGUUCAAGAGUACUACCACAAAGGUAAAUCCCUUAUCCCUUACUCGUUCCCCUUUUUGCAUACAUCAAAUCAAACAAGUAAAGAAUCCAGAAAACAAAAAGAAGAUAAACGAAAAAACGAAAUAUUAAAUCACCUUAAAGAAAACUUUUAUUUUUUUGCUUUCUGAUUUCUUUUAUGUAAUUUUCGAUUUCAGUAUCCCCUGUUUACAACUUUGAAUCGGCUUUUUAUAGCCAAAAUAAUAUGAAAUUACAGUAAAUAAAAAUUCUAUUCUGUUAUUCACUGGCCUUUUUCUAUUAUUUUGUUUUUCGCUGCUUUUGUUGUGGUUUCUGUUGCAGGUACACGCUUGGAGGCGCAUGCGUGUGAAGGCACAACACGAGCGGAGAAGUCUGGUUCACAUGCGGUGCGCGUGGAGGGCGGACGGAGGAGCGGUGCUGGAAGCUGUUAGAUUUUAGGGUUUCAGUUAAUUGGGGAAUAUUUUAGGCUAAUUCAGGGGUUGGGUUUAGUAUUUUGGAUUGGGACUUUAGAUUUUAUUUUUUUAGUUUUGUAAUCUGGACUGUUUAAUUGGACAUUUUUAUUAUUUUUUUUGAUUGGGUUUUUAGUUAAUAUUGGGCCAGGCCAAAAUUGGCCUAUUACAAUACUGAUGAAGCUUUUCCUUCACCAUUUACGACGAGUGUUGUUAUUAUUUCUUAUUAAUUGUCUGAUUUUAUUUAUUGAAUAAAUUAAUAAAUUUACUCUUAAAA